UGUGUAUCAGUACAUGGCAUAUCAAUAAGCGGAGGAAAAGAAACUAACAAGGAUUCCCUUAGUAACGGCGAGUGAAGCGGGAAGAGCUCAAAUUUGAAAUCUUCAAGGUUUUACCUUGACGAAUUGUAGUUUAAAGGAGUGUUUUCUGUUGGAGUUUUGGUAAAAGUUCUUUGGAAUAGGACAGUCAUAGAGGGUGAGAAUCCCGUAUUUGACCAUUAUUUCCAACUGUGUGAUACACUUUCAAAGAGUCGGAUUGUUUGGGAAUGCAGUCCAAAAUGGGUGGUAAAUUUCAUCUAAAGCUAAAUAUUGGCGAGAGGACCGAUAGCGAACAAGUACCGUGAGGGAAAGAUGAAAAGAACUUUGAAAAGAGAGUUAAACAGUACGUGAAAUUGUCAAAAGGGAAGCGUUUGACACCAGUGUUGUUUUUUCCGAAAAUCAAUUAACUAAUGAUUUAAUUUUUAAGAGUUAUGACUUCAUCAGGCUUGCUUCUCUCUUUAUGAUACUUAUCUUAAUGCACUUUUCGUUAACAAGUCAACAUCAAUUUCUUUUGUUGUAAAAGGGUAUGAGGAAGGUGGCUUUCUUUUCGGAGAAAGUGUUUAUAGCCUUGUACCUCUGCAAUCGGAGAGAUUGAGGUCUGCAGCGUAGAUCCUUCGGGGUUAGAUACAUUUGUGCUAAGUUAUAGCUUUUCAUAGACAACUUGUUGACUAUGAUCAGUCAUGUAGCUUACUCGCUUAUGCUAUUUUACCUACGCUUAGGAUGUUGACAGCAGUAUAGACUGU
rnacentral:rRNA from 1 species